rnacentral:rRNA from 1 species
GAUCCUGGCUCAGAGCGAACGUUAGCGGCAGGCUUAACACAUGCAAGUCGAGCGAGAAAGGGGCUUCGGCUCCGAGUAAAGCGGCGGACGGGUGCGUAACACGUGGAUAAUCUGCCUCGUGGCGGGGGGACAACAGUCCGAAAGGACUGCUAAUACCGCAUGUCAGGUCGGAAAACUCCGGUUUCUGACGAAAAAGAGGGCGUCCGCAAGGAGCUCUCACCACGAGAUGAGUCCGCGUCCCAUCAGCUAGUUGGCGGUGUAAUGGACCACCAAGGCUUAGACGGGUAGCUGGUCUGAGAGGAUGACCAGCCACACUGGGACUGAGACACGGCCCAGACUCCUACGGGAGGCAGCAGUGGGGAAUAUUGGACAAUGGGCGAAAGCCUGAUCCAGCCAUGCCGCGUGAGUGAUGAAGGCCUUCGGGUCGUAA